CUACUUACUGCUUUAUGUCUCACAAAACAUGUCAACAAUUCAAGGUCACCUUCUUUGCAUAAUGAGAAAGAAAUGUCAGUUCGUAUCCUAUCAUCUUCGCCAGAGCAGGCUUGUGCUAUUGCUGAAACAACUUUUGAGGGAUCAUUUAUUAUCACUGAUGUAUCUGGCAUGAAGCACCUAUCUCUUAACCAUUCCAUUGCCACUAGUAGUCCUAAAACUGUAUGUAGACGUAGGGUUGAUGACCUUUUUCAAUUUGACAUAAGUCCAAUUGUUGCUCAAAGCCCAUUGGUAUUAUCUUCACCUAGUUUACAACUGAAAGUUUCUAAAA